ensembl:lncRNA
AUGUAUCUAUACACACACACUUAUCAUGUAUCUAUACACACACACUCAUCAUGUAUCUAUACACACACACUCAUCAUGUAUCUAUACACACACACUCAUCAUGUAUCUAUACACACACACUCAUCAUGUAUCUAUACACACACACUUAUCAUGUAUCUAUACACACACACUUAUCAUGUAUCUAUACACACACACUCAUCAUGUAUCUAUACACACACACUUAUCAUGUAUCUAUACACACACACUCAUCAUGUAUCUAUACACACACACUCAUCAUGUAUCUAUACACACACACUCAUCAUGUAUCUAUACACACACACUCAUCAUGUAUCUAUACACACACACUUAUCAUGUAUCUAUACACACACACUUAUCAUGUAUCUAUACACACACACUUAUCAUGUAUCUAUACACACACACUCAUCAUGUAUCUAUACACACACACUUAUCAUGUAUCUAUACACACACACUUAUCAUGUAUCUAUACACACACACACUUAUCAUGUAUCUAUACACACACACUUAUCAUGUAUCUAUACACACACACUCAUCAUGUAUCUAUACACGCACACACUUAUCAUGUAUCUAUACGCACACACUUAUCAUGUAUCUAUACGCACACACUUAUCAUGUAUCUAUACACACACACACUUAUCAUGUAUCUAUACACACACACUCAUCAUGUAUCUAUACACACACACUUAUCAUGUAUCUAUACACACACACUUAUCAUGUAUCUAUACACACACACACUUAUCAUGUAUCUAUACACUCACACUUAUCAUGUAUCUACACACACACACUCAUCAUGUAUCUAUACACACACACUUAUCAUGUAUCUAUACACACACACUCAUCAUGUAUCUAUACACACACACUCAUCAUGUAUCUAGACACACACACUUAUUAUGUAUCUAUACACACACACUUAUCAUGUAUCUAUACACACACACUCAUCAUGUAUCUACACACACACACUUAUCAUGUAUCUAUACACACACACUCAUCAUGUAUCUACACACACACACUUAUCAUGUAUCUAUACACACACACUUAUCAUGUAUCUAUACACACACACUUAUCAUGUAUCUAUACACACACACGUAUCAUGUAUCUAUACACACACACUUAUCAUGUAUCUAUACACACACACGUAUCAUGUAUCUAUACACACACACUUAUCAUGUAUCUAUACACACACACUUAUCAUGUAUCUAUACACACACACUUAUCAUGUAUCUAGACACACACACUUAUCAUGUAUCUAUACACACACACUUAUCAUGUAUCUAUACACACACACUUAUCAUGUAUCUAUACACACACACUCAUCAUGUAUCUAUACACACACACUUAUCAUGUAUCUAUACACACACACUUAUCAUGUAUCUAUACACACACACUUAUCAUGUAUCUAGACACACACACACUUAUCAUGUAUCUAGACACACACACACUUAUCAUGUAUCUAGACACACACACACUUAUCAUGUAUCUAUACACACACACUUAUCAUGUAUCUAUACACACACACUUAUCAUGUAUCUAUACACACACACACUUAUCAUGUAUCUACACACACACACUUAUCAUGUAUCUAUACACACACACUUAUCAUGUAUCUAUACACACACACACUUAUCAUGUAUCUAUACACACACACACUUAUCAUGUAUCUAUACACACACACUUAUCAUGUAUCUAUACACACACACUUAUCAUGUAUCUAUACACACACACUUAUCAUGUAUCUAG